AAUAGCGGCGGCAACCCUUCUAGGAUAAAUAGCCCGUGCGAAAAGAGAUUAAUAGAGCGACCCGAAAAAAUUCCUUCGAAUACUUUCGUGUAUAUCUUUUGACGUUAUUAAACUUACGAGCUCGACAAAACGUUUCGCAAAUAACAUCGCCCUUUCGUUUACAAAGGGUUACGUGAAACGACCGUCGAGAAUUCUUUGAAACAUGUUUUGACAUCGACAGUCCUACCGACUUCGAAAGAAACAUGUACAUUAUCGUUUUAUUAUAUACAUACAUUAUAAUCGUUUGUAUAAGUCAAGAUGGAAAAGUUAUAUGAUCACACUUACGGAAUAAUCGAGACAGACGUAGAUAUGAAGAUUAAUUGUUCAAAAAGUAACGUCCUACAAUUACUUUUAUUGAGAACUGUUUGCUCUCCAGAUAAAUAAAAUUCACAAUGGCGCACGUUUCAGCUACAUAUUUUUUUUUUUUUUUUUUUUUUUUUACAAAGUCUCCGUUUAAUUGCUUGUGUCAUCGCGGUACGAGAGCACGUAUGCCAUCCCUGUAUCCUAUCUAGUUCCCGUAGCCACUCUUGACAGUCCUAACAACGCCUUCUUCAAAUCUUCAUCUUCAUCUUCAAACUUUCAUCCUCAAACCUUGUUCCGCGCGAACAAGGGUUGAAGACGACAAAAGCGUUGUUGGGGCUGUCAAGAGAUGGCUGCGGGAACAAGAUAGGACUUGGCACAGAGAUGGCAUACGUGCCCUCGUUCAACGACGGCGCAAGGCCAUAGACCUAAACAGAGAAUUCGUAAAAAUAACACAUGUAGCUAAAACAUAUCUAAAUUUAUAAAAUGUCUAAAAUCAAUUAGAAAAUAUAUAUAGAUAUUGAAUAUAAUAUACACUAGUUGAGUGUAAUAUUAUGAAUUUAAUUAAUGAUCGAGUACGUACAUCGUUAUUCCUGGUGGUCGACAACCAGCGGAGUAAUGAUGCACCUCGAAUCGUACAAAGUCGUUUAAAAAUUAUGGUCUUCGCGGGAAACAUGCGCAGGGAGAAGGUAGAGUGAACGCAAAACCGAGUGAGAGUAUUCGCGAAGCGAAAGUAAGCACUCUCAUUUCAUUCAGACGGCAAAUUAAACAUCAGAAGAAUCAUCGCGACUUUAAACAUAUAAUAGCGCGUUUCGUUAUGACGCAGGUAAUUGGCAAGAAUAAAGUCUUGUCUGCGUAAAUGCAUACAUAAACUACUUAAUUGCGAACACAUAGCUAUGCAUUUUAGAUAACGUAAACGUGUGUUUUUCUUCAUGUGGCAAAACAGAUAUCGCAAGAGUCUGACAAGCCUAAUAAUCGCUAUGGCACAUCUCAUUAAAGUUAGAUGCUAUGCAAACUAUUACAAAUUUAUUAUAGACAAUAUAAUGGUGGAUAAGGCAUAUGAAUUGUAAAUUUUAUACACGUGCACGUGCAAACGUGCGGGUAAACUGUUCGGACGCGACGCACAUGCAAUAUAAUAACGAACAACACAAUUAAUUCCUAUUAGAUCAAUUGAACCAAGAUGCAUCCGCAAUGCUUGUUGAUCAUAAAGAAAGGUAGCCUUAACGAGAAAUAAUAGACGAUCACGUGUUACAAUAACGCAACAAUGAUCUUAAUCAACCUUUAUUACCCGUGAAUGUGUGUACCAUUCAAGAGGAGUGCUUGAAAAAGAUGUCUGAGGUUAUUAGUACUAGUUAUGAGUAUAUAUGUACGAAACAUUAUAAAUAACACAUUAAAUAACACAAGUAUAAUGUUAAUAACGCUAUUUUAUAUUGUACUUUCCGUGUGUCUCCACUUUUCGAAAUAAAUAUAUAAUGUAUCGUAAUGGUAGGUAGAGCAUCACAAAAAGAUAAAAAAUGUUUACGCAGAAUGCCCAGACUUUCUUUUAUCUUUAAAUAAUUUGCCUGCUAAAAGGCUUGGCGAAUUCCUAACGCGACGCCGAAGACCACACUCAGGUCGGUGUAAAAAAAGAAAAAUGUGCACAUAAAGCAAUUCUAGCAGGAACAGACAUAAACAACACGCAUAAAAAACCGACACGCUUUAUAAAUAUUCGGACCUUUUUAACGUCUCGUUUAAUUCCAACACUGCGCAGACAAGAGACACUGCAAACAGAAUGCAACAAAACGCUUCUAUUUCUUUUCCUUUAUUUCCCACAAUUAUCUUGAUACGUCACGUUACAGAACGUGUUAUUUAAUUUAUCGCAUACGUAUGACGCAACUCGUGCUUACGGGCGCGCAUGCAGUUUAAACAUUAAUGAUAUCCCAUUGCAUCUAUCAGGAACUCGGCUCUCAAUUGGUUUGAAGUAUUCGUAGACGUGCAUUUUCACAUUUCCGUGACGUAAGUAUAUUUAUUUAUGAUUCUCGGAUGAAUAUCUCUUUCUCAAAUUUUCUCGGAUAACCUAUCGCGCGCGAGCUAGAUAUUUAUAGAUAUGUUUCUAAAAAUCUGCCGAAUAUAUUGGACGCAUCCGAAUGUGCUGCACUCGCGCUGACAAAUCUCACCACAUCGUCGCGCGGCAUUAUUGUCACCGCGACAUGCGUUACCCGCACCCGCGCAACCCCGGCGUACUCGUAUCUCGAUUCGGUAAAUAUUUGUAAAGUCAAUGCACCGUUCUUAGCCGUUCUUUAAGUAAGAACGUUUACCGCAACGAGAAAAUAUCACCGCUGCAAUAACAUCCCUCUUUUUCUCUUUUUCUUCCUCCCUCAGAAGAAGAGAUCUCUGAAAAGAUUGCCGGUCAUUUUUAACGGCAGCGCGAUGCGGAACAUCUACCAAAACCCGUGGUGGCCGUGGACGGUCAACCACGAUUUUUACGUUAUUUGUGGCGACUCGACGUGUCCUCGACCCUUUUUUUUUUUUUUAUUAGACGCAGCUAAAAAAUUUUCGCGGCUUUCGCGGCGAUUAUUCUACACAAGGCUGACGACGCUAAGGCACGAAGUAUAAAAAUAACGCGGUCGAAGAUUACGGGACAAAAAGCGUUAGCAGGCUCUCGACACGGCGCGUCGGUUUGGUUCGACUCGUAAAUCUUGCCCGGGCGGCUUCGUCGCGACACCGGGCAUCGCGGGCGUAACGCCGCGAGGCAUUUAAAACGGUGCAAUUAGCCGAUGAGCGCGGAGAGUGUGCCGGUUACUUUAUAAUCAUUAACGUCAAAUAUUCCCCGGUCGAGCCGGGGGGCGCGCAACGCCAGCUGAAGCGACAAGAAACGCCCGCUUGGGCAACGUACACGCGAGAUUAACGCGCGGAAAGUCCCCCGGCCUUGCAUCCCCGGGGCUCUCGCGCGCCGUACGUACCCCCUUCUUAAUAUAUCGCUCGUCCACGACUUCGGGGGGAGCGACUCCCGCGUGCACGCACCAGAGACGCCAGAGACGCAUCGCGCCGCGACGCUGAUGGAUUUAUCGCGGAAAAAAUACGACCGUGUUCUCAUGCGCCGCGCCUCGCUGAAACGCGCCAGGCUUUUGUUACUCCUCGACAGCAGCGGAGCGAGGCUCGCAGAGAGUGGUGAAAGCUUUAUUUGGAAAUAUAUUCGAGGGGGAUUUGUGAGCAAGAGAGUGGGAGUCAUAAAAAUCGCGGAAAUUCCGUUUUUCAAAUGUCACUUCACUCGCAGCGACAGCAAAUACUUUAAUGGCUCGACACACCAAUCUUCGAUACCUUGAAUGCGGCACCUCCACGAACGCAGAGAGUUAAUGGAUAUUUGUGCCGAACGCGUGCUGGGUAUGCUAUAUACGUUAGAUUUGGAAAUCCUUCUCCAGAAUAAAAGAAUACGCAUUGCUACCAGUCUGUGGAGUGGAGUUUCUACCAAAAACGGGAAAAAAAAGGCCAGACUGAUAGAGAGAUGCAGCGGCAUAACGAAGUCAAAGCGUACAGGUACAGAUAUAUAGAGCACGCAUUGCAUAUUUAAUGACUAUCAUAAUGCUAACGAGUACAAGGAGCCUCAGAUAUGCAAAUUUCGGCAAAAGUCCCGAAUAGAUUUCCUAUAUCAUCACGCAGCAGGAGCAAUAACACACACGACGGCGAAACUAUCACGAUAUCGUCGGGACAAAUUAGGAAAUAAGAAAAUAGCUGUCGGGGACAUAUAUUAUUAUAUUCGUUGGCGUAAAUAUCGGCGAAUAUGGCCCGGCUUAAAAUAUAUCUGCAAUUUUCUGCGCUGCAACGCGAGCUCUCUCCGUCGGAAACGAAUUCCGUGAAGUAGGACCGACGAAGCGGACAAUACCAACUAUUUGGUCCCAUUCCGCGGAAGUAGAUCCAAUUUUUGCCCGCAAUUUCGGAAUCGGAUAAAACACCGAUAUUCGAGGCACGCCGCAUUAUUGUCUAUCCCGUUCCGGGCUCUCCUCCUCAUCGGCGGCGUCCAAGAGGCGCAUUUGGCAAGCGCCAUUGUGGAGAACGAGUCGCGCGCGGCUGAAAAUUCUCCCCGUUGACGGCAGCCCCCGCCAGGUAACGCGUAUCCGCUCGAUUAUUCGAAUCCCUCAUGAAUAAUACAGGCGCCCCCGCGAGCGCGCCAAUCGUAUCUGCAAUUACUAUCGAACGAAUCGAUUAACGUCCCACCACGGUGAUGCAUCGCGGAAUGGCCAUUGAUUAUGGCCUUUUACGGCGUGUUUACGGAUUGUACUUGACUCAGGCGGGUGGAAUAUCGCCGUGAGAUCGUCAGAUACGCCGUGCGUACGCACGAUGUCCACCUCCUAGGUCCUAGACCGUCGGCGACACGACGUCCUCGCGGGUAGACGCCCUGGGAUGUACGUGGAGGGCGUCGUUAUGCCGCCACGGCGAAAUUGCGGUCGAGAGCGGUCGGGGUGAACGGUCGCGAUAGAGCUCUCCUUAAAAGCGUGCCACGGCAUCCAGUUAGCCAAAGCGUUCUUGAGAUAUUCGCUUCAAGCACCUGUGUAUAUUGUAACUUAUUACAGGGAUUGGGAUAUGCACGAGAUCAGGCCGCGUCAUAUCCAAGAUUAGGCACUGACAAAGACUUUGACUUGAAUAACUGAUAAUUGAAAAGACGCAACGAUGAACAAGUUUGGAGAAAAAAAAAAAAAAACUUUUUCUUUGUACUCGACACUCGCUGAUUCGUGGUGUUCUAUACGUACUGCCAGCGUUUUAGAGAGAGGUUGCCAAAUACAUUCCUCCAACUCUCUAUCUCUACAUUUCUAUCUCUCCACUGAAAAGCCCUCAUUUCUAUACCAUCAUAAAUCUGUGCGUAGAUAUUGCCUGAUAUAAUGAUCAUAAUAAUGAAGCAAUCUAUUCAUCGAUUAUUCUAUCUAAGUACGUAAUAUCCUUUAAAAAGCGACUAUCUUCAUCGAGGAACCUCGUAAAUGUUCAACCACGUUACCGAAGCGGAAAUAUAAAAGAGAAUUAAUCGAGUCGGGCGGCGCCACUAAUAGUUGUUUAUGAAGCCGAGGUCGGCUUCAAUUUAAGUUUCAGAAAGUUCCUCUCUUGUGUGCGCGCGUAUCAAGGUCGCUACAAUCCUUAAAGGCAGUUAUUUCGUAAGGAGGUAGGAUUAAUGUUUCCCAAUGCCGAUGCUUCCUGCAUUGGAAGUGCUUCCUCACAUACAUCGUGACAGUUACAAAAUAAACACAUUUAAAGCCAACAAGCUCUGAUCGAAUUUAAAUCAACGAAGUGAUUACUUUUGUAAGAAAAUAAAAUCCUUAUUUAUAAUACGUGUACGUAAAAUCACGCGCGCAAGAGAGACAGAGAGAGAUAUAAACUUUUAACUUCUCAGCCUUGAAUACUUUUCACAUAAAUUGGAAAUUUUUAAAUUUCCGCGGCAUCAAAUAAUAUAACUUUAUACAACUUCUGUCCACAAAGUCGAUACUCCAUCAAAGUGUACAUAAUUUUUAUAUAAAGGGUGUGAGUCUUUCAGCAUAGCAAGCCACAAAUUUCCGUCCGAUGUAUACCGUCGUAAAAAUGUAAAGCAGCGCGUUAUACAUUUACUCGUUUACUUCGUUCACGGCAAAAUCGGAAGGAUUAAAUUACAUUAAACGCUCUUCAGGCGGUCGAAGCUGAAAUUCGAUCGAAUAUCACACUUUGAUUCAGGCGGUUCUUUCCACAGAUAGGUAGGUAAUCGUCCACGUCAGGUCGAUCCACGGUAAGACGCAACACCCUCAAAUUACCCCGUGAGCAACACGACCUGCCCCGUGCCGGAUGCUGUCAUUCAAUCGGCCGCUUCGACGGAUAAUGCCCCGGUGGAUUUAACCGUCCGUGUUCCUAGCUGGUCUUUCGCAGCGGUGCGCAACACGAGGCCCGCGGACCGAAGGGCCCCCUCGGUGUUUCACCUGAUAAUAAUAUGCCCGCGCCUUCUAAUUUUCUACUUAAAUUUGCAAAAUUACACCGAUUACUUUUAAUAUUUCAAUACAAGCGGUACUCUAAUAAAUUAUAUGAAAUAUGAUAUAUAAAAUAAAGGUAUACAAAAUAAUAUAUCUAUGUAGAAGCAAGACAUUUUAUUUCUUCCAUUUUAUUACUACUAUUAUUUCCUCUCUUACCGUUAUAUCGUUUACCGAACAAAAAUUGUAAUAAUUUUUAUUAAUUUUAAACUGCUUAACGCUCAUAGAAUCUUACGUUGUAAACAAUUCUAUCUUUCGCGAAGCUGUUGCAGAUCAAAGAUGAUAUUGCGAAUAAUGUGCGAUUAAAUUUAAUUUAAACUGAAUAUGGCAUACUUCGAUAUUUGAGUUGCGCACCUCUGAGCUAACCCAAAGCUCGCCUCGCGAGAUCACGAGAGUGAAUCGAUGGCGAGACCGACGAGGAAGCUGGCCACGAUGUAAAUCCGCUAAGUGCAGCGCCGCUGGCCAUGUCACACUCGCUUAACUCCGACAGAACGAGCACGCUCGUUAAAGCCCAGCUUUACUAAAGAGCCCUCCCACGGAUGAUCGAUAUUUACCAUCAAUAUCGCAAUAUUGUGGGUAGAAGUACCGAAUUGUUAGUACAAAAAAAAAUUAUUUUUUUUUUUUUAAUGGAUAUUUCUCGACCUUACUAAGAUUUUUCAAAUUUUUAUGUAAAAAAUUCUUUACACUCGAACUAUAUUAGAGCGAAAACUAAUCGACUUUUAUCAUAAACCAUAUUAAUUUUGUAACUUUAUAAUGAUGUAUAUUAAUAGAGUAAUAUAAAGAUUUUUUAUAUUACUCUAUUAAUAAAAAAAUACAUCAUUAUAUUAAUAGAUCGGUAAAAAAAACGCAAGAAAAUAUUGCUAAUAAACAAAACACCAGUAAAUCUUAUAAGAAUCGCUUUGUGCUCACUGGUGAUUUUAGUUGCAUCGAAACAUCGAUACAGUCAAAGGGUCCAUUAACGCAGAGUUGGCGAAUUGUUCUCGCCGGUUGCGACCGCAAAUCAUUUCGCGGGGACAGUUAUCGAGAAGAAAUGCGCCAUUUUUCCCACGAGAAAUGGAAUAAGGGCGCCAAUCUAGACCAGUAAGUCUAAGUUCCGACAUCAGUGUUCCCUCGAAAGUGCGGUCAAAGUGGUCGCGCUUGAUAAAAAUUAAUGGGCCCACGGCUCACAAAGCUCAGGCCUCUAGGUGAGAGAGUUGCUUGUGAGCUGCAGCAACGCAGAACAAACGCGAUUCCCAACACAUAUAAUGGCGCAUAAAAUUCAAAAGCGCGCCGAGAGGAGCGAGCGAGCAAGCAAGCAAACAAGCAAGCAAGCAAGCAAGCAAGCAAGCAGGUCGGGACGUGAAAGAGAGGAACCCUAUUGAAUUUAUAGAAGUCAUCGUUGUGCGCGGAUCUUUAGAACGACGUCCCCCUCCUCCCCCCCUUCCCGUUUCUCUUUUCGCGAUUCCCUCUUCUUCUUUCUUUUCCUGCCUUACACCCCUUCCCCGGUCGCGGCAUCUCAAGAAUUCAUAUAAAUCUGAGAAGUUCUCCUCGAGAGUCUCGUCGGGAAGAAGCAACGAUGCAUGAAUAAUGCAGGUGGCGCGUACGUGUUACCACUGUAUUUUAUUACGGCCUCGCCGAUCGCAAACGGGCUAUUUCUCAAUUAACGAGAAUCGGUCGAGGUAUCGGUCGGGUCCCCGGUCCUAUGCCAAUUACAGCAAAAGGAGCUUCGGUCUCGCGGCCAUACGCUUUAAUUGAAGCAACGAUUAAAUUGGUGAUUCCACCGUGGUGGUUCGUUCCCACACUGCGAAAAAUGGGGCGAUGCGUCUCGAUGCGAUGCGAUGCCAAUGCGGUACGAUGCGAUGCGAUGCGAUGCGAUGCGAUGCGAUGCGAUGCGAUGCGACGCAUACGAUGGCUCUGAUCAAACGGUGUCGUCGAGCGAAAAAUUUGCGGGCGAAAGACUUCAAAGCGAGGUUUGGCCGACGCAGUCAAAUCAUUCCGGACGGUGCAAGGCGAGCGCACGAGGGGGAAAACGUCAAACGUCCAAAUUUCACAUGGCGCCACGCUUGUGUUACGUCCUUUCAUUUGACCCCAGAACCUAUUCGUUAACACACCGACCUGCCUGUGUACAUCCGAUGCAAAAUUUUUGUUGGAUUUAUUGGCGCCGCGUGUUCGAUUAGAAUCUCUUUCAAAAGCCGCCAUUUCGUCCGGUCGCUCAUUCGAGCGUUAGUCUUAAGCCUGUGAUCGAGCUUUUUUAAAGAGCCAGAGACAAUUGAAGAGUUGAAAGAGAAUUAUCAAAAGAGCUAAAUGCCCUCCUCACGCUUGUUGGACGCUACUACCUCCAGUAUCUAAAUUUUGAAAUAAAAAAAUUAUAAAAAGCUCAUGUUAUAGGUCUGAAAAUUUUUAGUUUUUUAUAACUUUAAUUAGCUAUAUUAAAACCUUUAUUACUUCAUCGGGUUUUUUCAUAAAUAUAAUUAUAUAAUAUAAUUUUAUCUAAAAAAAAAAAAAAAAAAAAAAAAAAAACAGAGAGAAAAAUUCUUUUUACGAAAAAAUAUUGAAUGGAAAAUAAAUGCACUCAUCCAAUUGGUAUAUACGCGCACAUGUAGAGGUGCAUAACGUAUAGAGUCGAUCCUGCAAAGUUCUCGAUACUCGAUACUACGGAUGCUUUUUCGCAAUUGUGUAAUUAUUUAAUCGAUUAGUUUUUUCAUUAAUCUAAUUCUAAACAAAUUAUAUACAAUUGUAGCUUAAAAUAUUCUUCAAUUUUAUCUCACGCAUAUUCAUAACCUUGGACUCUGCGCACGUUUAUAUAAAAUCAGUUAUAUUUUCAGCUACGCAUAUCAGGAACGCCGCGCCAUUGUACAGUUUUAUUUCGUAAAGAAUUUUACUGAAAAAAACCGCAUUCAAUUACGAAAAUAAUAAUUGCGCGCGCGUUUGUACUUCCCCCGCUAAUUCCCAGGGAUCAAGUAUCCUCGCCUGCUUAAUCUCGAAUUAAUUACCUCGAACGGGCAUUCAUCGCUAGCGAACUAUCGCCGCCGGACGGCGUGCAAAUAAAUUUGACUUCCGACAUUAAAUGCGUAUUGUCUGGUGCGAGCGCGGAAGAGGAUGGUGGAUAUAUCUGCAUUUAAAACUGGAACGAUCUCGAAAUUGCCAUGACGACGGAAACACACCACCGGGAAGCCUUUCAACGGUGAAUGUUUUGCAAGCACUUGAGAAACCAAUCAGCUACCGCCGCCGCCGCCGCCGCCGCCGCCGCCGUCGCUCUCUCCCUUUGCUUCGCCGUUCUGGACGGGCACCAAUCUUCUGAUCUCGGUUAGCAAAUUUACGACACAGCCGAGUUGGUGCGUUCCUCGUCGAGCGCUGGUUUCUGCUCGCGCUAAAGUGAGCCGUACUUAAUUAAUCCAACAUGCGCCCAGCUUCUCCAACUCUCCACCCGUUUCUUGCCCUCUCACUCUUCCGCUCUCUUCCUAUCUCCCCCGCCCCCCCUCUCGUUGUUGAACCUUCAUUACAAAAUUAUUCAUUGAUUUAGGAUAGUCGACAGCAGGUAUGCAGCGUUAAGAGGAACGCUGACAUAAAUCAAUAAAGAUUAUAUCUUGAUGUAAUAUUAGAGUGUUAUUGUUUUCCUAACAACUCUAAAACAUUUAAAGAAUUAUUACUAAUACAUCAUGUAUGUCAAUCAUAAAUAUUAACUUUCGAGUAUCAUGUAUUGUGCAUGUUGUGUGCACACGUUUAUUCUAAUUAAUGUACAUCACUUAUCCAUUGUACAUCUAAUAAAUAUUGAUAUGAAUAAAGAAGUGAGGAAAUUAAUUUUUUCGCUGUCGUUUAACGAUUAUUUCGCUCGGUUUUUUUUUUCUUUUUACUCAUACACAUAUUCGCCCGCUUAUUUCAUUUCUCAAAAUCUUGCGAUCACCUUUCUGUUUGCUUAAAAUAUCAAGCUAUUGUUUAUUCAUUACAGUAGCAUGCGAAUUCGAACAAUUGAUUCGCGUGUUACGGACUCGUGAGCUCGCCAUUGAAAAAUAAAUACAUUCGAUACACGAGGGACAAGAUCUCAUGAAACAUGCACGUCCACAGGUGCAUUUCUAUUUUUCUACAUCGACACAUGAAAUAAAGAUAAAGCACGUUCUCACGUUCAAGGUAUUUUUUUCGUACUUUUGAAUACACCAGUGAGCAAGCAGUAGCUAUUUGGAAUCAAGAUACGAUUAAUUAUAAAUAUAAUAACACUUAUAAGUAUUAAAAAUAAAAAUAAACGGCCUCUUAACAACAUACUAAAUUCGUAUAUUUUAAAAUGUACUCUUGGGUAAAAUCAAUGUGACAACAGAGUCUGAUUUACAGUUGAAGCUGAACAAUUUAGAGACUCGAAGAUCCAGGUUUAAAAAGUUUAUAAAUAAUUUAUCUUCAAAAUUUAAAUAUUUUAAAUAUAUUAUCAUUUGGUAGAAAGGAAGUGGUGUGGAGAAAGAAUAUUAUUUAUAUUAUAGUAAGCCGCACCAGUUCGAAUUUGUCUCCGGGGUAUUUUAUAAAACGUUGAUAAAUGUAACAUUCGCAAAAAGCACUACGAAAUUCUACUUGCGUUAUAUUUUAUUUCUCAACGCUUAUAUCCUACUUUAAUAUUUCAUUUGCAUUUCGCUUCUCGUAACGCAUUUGCCCUCGAUCUACAAGCAUUCGUUGAACCGGUAAUCGCACAGAUUGGCGUUGAUUCAAUCAAAGACACGUAUAUAUGCGGAACAAUGCUUACCAGUCAAAUCAUACUUGCCGGCGUUGAAUCUAGAUUUCCGUAAUUCGAUUAACCAAUCAGAGAAAGAGAAAGAGAGAGAGAGAGAGGGAGAGAGAGAGAAAGAGAGAGCCGAUUGUAAUAGAAGCACGACGGUGCGAUAAUGUUUACGAAUCGCGUUUCACGGUGAAGAGGAGCAGCCCUAUCGAUUUCCGGGGGUAGAUUCGUUCCCUUCUUAUUAAGUAUUCGCGAUAAGCUAUCGCUCCGCAAAAUGGUUCACGGUCGCACAGAUUGACCUACCGUUUCGCCGAUCUGGCACAGUCGGCGGAAAAUUGACAAUAUAAAUUCAAUUAUCGUCAUAACGGACUCUAAGUGGAGUAAAUCGAUAAGCCGGCAGCCAGGUGGCCGGGACAUUCGCGCGGAAAAUCUUUUUAUUUUCACGGUUUUAUAUCCGGUGCGCGCCCACGAUGACGUAACCGAGACCGUAACGAUCGUUCCUAUUUCUACCCGUUCCUAUCCGACGAGUCCGCGAUGGCUUUCUGAAAAAGAGUUAUAACUCGAAAUAUUCAGAUGCAUCAAUAGCUUUUCAGCUAUAUACAGGCAAAAAGAGGAUUACAAUGCAAUUUAUUUCCCAUGUACAUUCAACAAAAUGCAAAUGCGCCGCAUUCAUACGGAUUUUAUUAUCGUAUUAUAUGACUUUCGUAUACAGUUGAAACAUCACAUGUGAACGUACCUUAUCGCAUCGAUUUGUCAAAUAAAGCGUUAUUCGAAACCGUUUUUUAGCUAGAAAACCCAAUGAUAACUUAAAAAAUCAUUCUUUUUGCGUUGCAAUUCUAUUGUACGAACUGCCGAACUGUCAGUCCUCUUUUCACUUUUUUUUUCUUCUCCAAUACGACAAAUUAAAUUCGGAAACGAAUUGCAAUACGGAUGGAACGAUGGAGAGAGAGAGAGAGAGAGAGAGAGGGGGAGGGGGAGGAGGGAUAAAAAGGGAAAAGAAGUGAGAGAGAAAGAGAGAAAGAGAGAGAGUGAGUGAGUGAGUGAGAGAGAGAAGGAAGCAGGGGAGCAUAAUUUCGUUUGCACGGUGAUGGUAAAGAAUGGCAGAACCUGCUGCAUGCAAUUGCGUAGACUGGUUUAUCGAUUGGUCGAACGAAAUUCACGUCGCCAGGCCGGAAGCCACGCAUAAAUCGGGUUUAUACCGACAGUAAAAUCCCACUUGCGUAUAUCAAAGUAACAGAGUAACACGAUAAAAUUGGGGCCGGUAUAAACUGCCGCUGAUAUGGAAUCGACGUCAUUAAAUCACCAGAUUUGCUAGAUUGGCAGUGAAUUACUUUAUUUUUAACCAUUAAACGCCGGAACCGCGGGGAUAAAACGAGGAUUUUACCCGAGCGCGGUUUCACUCCGCUAACUAUACACCGCCCGCGGGUGUCUCGCAUCGAUAGUGAUGAAAAUAAAUCGCAUCGGCGUUAUCUACUUCCGAUACAUCGCGUCGGUGAUCCCGAAAACGUGUUUUGCGCGUGCCCUUUGGCAGUAAUUUCAUUCGCGUACAAACGCGCGCGCUGAUAUUUCCGCAUCUAGUUUGAUUAAGGUAAUCGCAAUAAAUUGUCAAAUAGCAAAACGCAAUACGGGACCCCCCUAUAAUGCGGAUAUAUAUGGCCUGUUAAACAGAUUGCGGCGGUAGUUACUUGGUUCGAUCGCGUUAUCUAAAUCAACCGUGAUAAUAAAGUCUCGUAAAGUACCGGCGCCAUAUAUCGGCUAAACGGUAAUAGUGUGUGCGACUCGCGGACUAGACUUUGCAUCCCCCGGGCAAAGUAUAACGGUCGACUUUGCGCCGUCUAAUUAAAGCAGCAGUCGGGGGAGAGCAGCCUCAAAGAAAAGUCUCAAUAAAUUAGAGAGAGACUCGCCAGCAAGAGUAUCCUACUUUUCGACGUUGUCACGUACACUGUGAUUGUGUACUCGGCCUAACUAGCCGAACUUUCUUGAUUACCAGAUACGCGACGGAUUAAAUAUUCAUGAUGCUUUUACGAGUCGCCCGGCGGCGAGCCGAAGUAUUCUGUCAAUUAAGCAUUUAAAUCAACCGCGCGCGUCCAAGUUUGCAGGAAAUUUUUUAAACUAACUUCCCUCGCGCGCGCGCGCGCGCCGCGUCUGAAAUGCGCCGCGGAGAUUCCCUAAAAAACUCACGAAAACCCAACCGCCGGACAGUUAAAACGUCAUUUUAUUCCGGCGAAGCCAGAAGAUCGCUCGCGCUGCGAAUAAUUUACUCGCGAAACCACUCCGGGGGACCAUUGCCGCAGGUAGGAGACGCAAUUCCCUGCGGGACUCCAACCGGCCAUUGUGUUAGAGCGGGUUGUAGAUUAUAGUGCGAGUUACCCCAAGUCAAAGCCCACAUCCCAAACUCCGUCGUCGAAACUCGCCAGCCUUACUCGUGGACAAUAUGCCACCCGCGAAUAACGUCUAGUCAGAAAAGCUCGUCGGUCCUGUCCGAAUCCGAGUUUCUCUCACUUGUAGGGAUGCGUUCAUAUAUAUGUGUGUGUGUGUGUGCGUGUGUCUCUGUGUGUACGGCAUCGCGCAAUAUUCUACCAUCAGACACUUUGACGAAUUAGCAACCAGCGACUACUUAGACUUUGCGAAAAUUUCAUAGGAUUCUAUGAUAUCAUUUAUAAAUUCACGAUAUUAGACCUGUCGCUAAAUAAGCCGCCAAAUUUAUUAAAUUCUGUUAAAGUUCCUUUGGAAUUAAAUGAGAAAUAAAGUUGCGUUACCCAUUUAUAUCACUGAAGCUUCAAUUUUUAAGCGCUCAAGUUUUUUUCACCUUUUUUUAUUUGUGUGAUCUAAAUGUUUUUAAACUCUUCUCUUAGAGUAAGUUUAAGAACAUGAGACAAAAAUGAAAAAGAGCUUAUUAUUAAACUUAGUAAUUAAAAUUUAGAUUAUAUUAAUUACACAUUUUUAUUUAAACACGUCAACGGUAUAAGUACGGCAAAGAAAUAUAAUCAGAAAUAUAAAGUUAGAUAUUUGCAUAAUUAAGCUGGCGAAAACAAAACUUGUAAGAAACCUUAAUCGAUAUCAGUCAGAAAGCUUUCGAUCCUUUUUGUCAUGUUGUAAUACCUUCGUAUAUCUUGUUAUAUUAUAGUUAUAUAAAUAAAUAACCAUACAUAGUAGAAUACAUAUGACACUCAGUAUACCUUGUAUAUCAAUAAAAGCCGAUUGCACCAACGGGUGCUUGUGAUCAUAGUUAACCAAAGUUUCUUUAUCCAUCGAUAUUACGUCUAAAGAUAUAAUCUAGGAAGGGACUAGGGAAUCGCUAACUAUAAUCUGAUAACACAGCUGUACCAUUCAUUCGUGUUAAUACUACGCAGUGCAUCUAGCACUCCCUUGGGGCUAUGAAGCUUAACCAAGGCUGUCCCCGCAACUCAUCCCAAGAAAUAGACGUUUGCAGUCGAGCCAGCGCAGCAGUCCGGCUAACGCGAGUUAUCGGCAAUCCCGACAAAGCGACGAUACGACCGUGACGUUACCGAUAACCAGCGACGAUUAUCUAUAAUUGUCAGCUCUCUCUCUCUCUCUCUCUCUUUCCCUCUCUUCCCGGGCUGUAAAUUGAACUCUCGGCAACAAGUGCCAAUUACAAAAGGCCGCACGAGAUGCCGUUUACCCGGUUUACGUGUCGGCCGACGUGGUCGGUACCUUAAUCUGGGAUCGAAGAUCGCCCUACCGGAGAGGAAGCGAGGGAGACAGAAUGCCUUCGUGCCGACCUAACCCAAUCUCGCAGAAGGCUGCGAAAUUCGCUUAUGGCAAGUCACGCGAUUCGCCGAUGGAAAUCGCCCGAGGGGCUAAUGCCAUUAAGCGUCGUUUCCUCGACCGGCGCGAUUAAGCGCGGAUUUUUCUGCGCGAACGUGGAUAACGCGCGCGCGCGACGCUCUCCGGGGGAUUUUAAUGGAACGACGAGGGUACCAUCGUCGCGCGUCCCUCACCCGCGAGCCUCUUCUGUCGGACGUGAUCCUAGCUGAGAUAUCCUCUCUCUCUCUCUCUCCUCGCCUUUCGUCGGAUAAAGGAGAAGGAGGAAGAAGUGGAAGAAAGAGAGCGGCGACAGCGACUCAAUCGCGCGGGGAUAGAAGUUUUCACGAUUCAAAGGCUCGACGAUCGGCCGAUACAGAAUUUUUAUCCGCUACUGGGUUUCGGUACCGUAAACCGCAAUAAUGGAACGUGACGAAUUUCACGUUACGACGCAGUCUCGCGCGCGGAAGCGAGCGGGCGACACGUAAAAAAAGCGAUGAAAAUAAAAAGAGAAAAAAGGAGCGGUCGCACAUGGUUUUGUACGAACUCGCGCCCCGGCAACGUGAACACGAGGCACAAAAAACUUCUGUGAUUUUUGAGGGAACAAAGCGCGCGAGCGCCUCCGUGCGUAGCGUUGUUUCGCGAACGAGAACACCGUUCGGUUCAUAGAGAAACGUCGAUGUCGCGAAUAGAAGCUUUGAAGGGAGCUAAUAGCAUCGUUUAGCCCGGGGUGAAAUUUGAAUCAGAGGGGGGGGGAGAGGGGAAUGGGGGAGAAAGCGAAAUUGCCCGGCGAAAGAACGCCGUUCAUCGGCAUUUCAUUCAAUGGAUUGUUCAACUACAAUGGGGAACAAUGUUCAAUUACAGGGCUAGGAUAAGCUGUUCGAACCUGAUGUUGCAUUUUUAGUAAAAAAAAAAUCUAUAAAUAAUAAAAAAUUACAUGUUUCCCAAUAUGUACUUCAAAAUCAAAAGCAUUUUUACAUGACAGUACUUAUCUUUAAAAUUCUGUUCGAAAUAUAUGAAUUCGAAUAUACAUAUCACGUUAAUAUUUGAACAAAAGCUUAAUAAAAUAAAACUACCAACAUCUAAGUAAGAAAAUUAAACAUAUUUUUAUAAAUUUACACAAUGUAUAACGUACAUUAUUUUUAUAUAUAAAAAUUAAGUAAGAACAAUACUCGCAUAAUUUGCUUAGAUUUCGAAUGCGAAAUAACAUACGUAUCUUUCUUUUUAACUAUGUAAAUGUCGCCGACAAUUAAUGUUUUCAGAAAAAGUGCCAAUUUAACAAGAAACUACUGUCAUUUUUUUCAUCUCGGUAAUUUCUUUCUUUCAGAUCUCGUUUCUUCUUUUUUUAAAUCACGGUUUCAGAAGAAACAACUUUUAACAGUUGUAACUUUUUUUUUUGUUGUUACUAAAAGUACGAUACGACAACACGAGCUGACUACAUUCAAUUCAGGAGUCGUUUUACGCGUCGCGCGCGGCGUUCGCCGACCGUUUGAGAGUGCAAACUUCGAAAUCAUCCCGUUCGUUCGCACGGGAUUUCGAACGAGUUCGCGGAAGUUUCAUCGCCGAUUGGGAACGGAAUUGGCGCUCGCUCGUAGAAUCAGCCUCGCCAUUCUCGCGCGCAGCUUGUAUCGCUGUCUAAAGGAAGAAAAUCAGAGUCUUCAAGACCCGGCCGAACGACUUCACAAAACGAUUGCGAAAGAUUAUGCGACAGCUCAAUAAGAAACCCCCUACAGGAAGGAGCCUACGUUUUGCAAACGCAUCGCGAACACGCAACGUGCUCCUCCGGUUGAUUGCAAAACUUCUUGAGCGACGACGUAACUUCAUGUGAGACUCACGGGGGAAAACGAGCGGACGGAUUUUCAAAAAAAAAUAAUAAUACAAUCACGCGUCGGAAAGUUUAUUACAAAACCCUCGCGCAAGAAUAAUAAAAUAAAACGUGCUUCAUCCAAGAGCGACAGUAAAGUAAAAUAACGUUUCAAGAAAAGUAGAAGGGCGAGCGAAAGGCUGACGAGAGACUUUCACAUUUUGAAAACAGCAUUAUUUAUAUAAGUUAACUUUGAUUAAGUUCAACUGACCGGAAUUAAAGUUUUACGGACUUUUGAAUAAAGACGAUCGAAUGAACCGAAUAAUUGUGGAGGUGAUGUGUUGAUAAUGAAUCUUUCGAUGUAUUUGAAAUUGAUUUUUCUUUGACGGUAGCGUCAAAAUGAAAAUUUUAAUUACUUACUUGAUUAUUUAACGUUAAAACGGAAUUCAAUUAAAAUUCUUUCAGCUCUAUCGCACUGUAACGGCGAAAUUCAUUAUUUACUCCAUACAAAGAACGUAUUUGUGAGAUUAGCCACUGUUUAAUCGAAAAGUGUCAUCCCGUUUCCCUGUGUAAUUCCCUGCGACGAGACAGACCAUUCUUUCGCCGCGAUUCCGGCGCGUCUCUCGUGCAAAUUGAAUCUAGAGCUUGAAUUACGCAGAUAACGCGAAAUUACGUUGUCCCGCCGGACCGUCCCGGGCGAGCCUUCAGCGCGCGGGACAUAAAAGUCGAGUACGAAAUUCCGCCACGCGUCUCUCGCCUACGGAUCGCGAACGGAGAGAAUGAGGGAACGAGCGAGCCACGAAACUGCCGUUUAAACGAACAUCCGCGCGGUUUCUCUAGUCGAAUGGCGUUGUCGGGGGAAGGAGAGCGCGCGGAAACGUUACGUAAAUGCACACCGCAUUCCCAGACCCCCUAUCGGCUAUAAAUCUUAUCGGCAUUAAAAUCAGCAUGUACAUCUCCGCGAGACGACGGGAGCUCUCCCGUGGAACGCCUGUCAAUUCCAGCGUCGUCAUUUUCCUGCCUCUCUCUCUCUCUCUCUCUCUCUCUCGCUCUCUCCCUCACGUGAAAAUCGUCAUAAAGUCGCACCCUUCGGAGGCGAGUCGGCUUACGCAUUACAUAGGCACGUACCUUGGUACGUACGUGCGCGGAUCGAUAACUCGCACGUCGUAACUUAUGCCGCGCCUCGUAUCCCGUCAUCCUCGUUCUCGUCGUCGUCGUCGUCGUCGUCGUCGUCGUCGUCGUCGACAUCCUCCUCCCGCUCCUCUACCAUCUCCUCCUCUUCCUCCUCCUUCCGCCUGCUCGUCUCGCGAUCGUGAUCGCGUGAGAGCUUUUCAACGCGGGACACGGCAUUAUUGUGCUGCCGCAGCAGCCACCACUGUCGGUGCACGCGUACAUCAGAUCGUGCGCACGGAAUCCCACCGAAUCAGAAAAUAAUCAUCGCAGCCCCACGGCUCACGUGCGCGAGAGAUAGUCUCACGUUCUCUCAUCGGGGGUAGAGAGAGGUCCGGGCACAAUUUUCACCGUGGUAUUAAAAGUCCGGGCACGUUGCAUCCCCGUCCCGGGGUUGUCGCGCCGUCUGCGAGAAGCUGGUUAGCGACUUUCUUUUCGCCGUUCUUUCCUGCCUCCUCUCCCCUCCCCCCCCCCCCCACUUCUCCGACGUAGGGCUACGACGACAACGAGAACCGUCCGCGCAAAUACAACGGACCCGUAUCUCCGCGACGGUGAUUUGUGUAUCCCAACGCGUACAACGGAAGCCGUGAAUCGCACGCAAAUCCUCCAUCCAUUCACACGCAUCCCGGAAUAAUUCCGAGGUCGUAUCCUACCCAGAUUACAUAUUACUUACGCCAUUAAAUUAUAUUUCUAUUCAACGUCACACGGAUGAUAUAUUUAAUUAAAAAAAAAAAAA